GGCGAGAUGGCCGAGCGGUCUAAGGCGCCAGAUUAAGGACCAGGACAUUCAAUGUCCACUGAUUCUGGUCCGUAAAGGGCGUGGGUUCGAAUCCCACUCUCGUCA